AUGCUACAGAGAAAGAGCUUCUUUUUACAGGAUUAUACCUGUGUUAUGUGUAACAGGCAAAUGCUGGAAACAAGAGAUCGCUUGUUUUUCCUAUGCCCAUUUGCUAAAAUGUGCUGGCAAUAUAUUUGUCCUUCUUGGACAUCAACCCAGUCAGAUGUUCAGGAGGAAGUUGAGCAACUCAAGCAUUUGAUCAACCUACCUUUUAUUUUUGUUUUUAUUUUAUUGAUUUCCUGAGCAAUCUGGAUUACCAGAAAUGAUUUCAUCUUCAACCAAAUUCCUCCAAAUAUGUAUAAUUGCAGACGGUGUUUCAAGGAGGAGAUGAAAUGGCCUACUUACAGAGCUCAGAGGAAGGAGUACAGUGGCGUGGCUCACUGGGUGGCAGCAUUCAGAUGA
rnacentral:rRNA from 1 species